rnacentral:rRNA from 1 species
CGCGUAGGCGGACAGUUAAGUCAGAGGUAAAAGCCCAGGGCUCAACCUUGGAAUCGCCUUUGAUACUGGCUGUCUUGAGUACGGGAGAGGUGUGUGGAACUCCGAGUGUAGAGGUGAAAUUCGUAGAUAUUCGGAAGAACACCAGUGGCGAAGGCGACACACUGGCCCGUUACUGACGCUGAGGCGCGAAAGCGUGGGGAGCAAACAGGAUUAGAUACCCUGGUAGUCCACGCUGUAAACGAUGAGUGCUAGUUGUCGGCAGGCAUGCCUGCCGGUGACGCAGCUAACGCAUUAAGCACUCCGCCUGGGGAGUACGGUCGCAAGAUUAAA